CCAGCCCUAGCUGUCCUGGAUCUCACUCUG
rnacentral:piRNA from 1 species